GCCGCCAUGGUGAAAUUGGUAGACACGCUGCUCUUAGGAGGCAGUGCGAGAGCAUCUCGGUUCGAAUCCGAGUGGCGGCA
rnacentral:tRNA from 1 species